AACUCCAAGGAACGGGUUGUGCUG
rnacentral:siRNA from 1 species